rnacentral:rRNA from 1 species
UACAGAGGUCUCAAGCGUUGUUCGGAAUUACUGGGCGUAAAGGGUGCGUAGGCUGCGCAGAAAGUCAGGUGUGAAAUCCAGGAGCUCAACUUCUGAAUUGCACCCGAUACUCCUGUGCUAGAGGACUGGAGAGGAGCUUGGAAUUCUCGGUGUAGCAGUGAAAUGCGUAGAGAUCGAGAGGAACACUAGUGGCGAAGGCGGCCGGCUGGGGGUGCCCUGACGCUGAGGCGCGAAAGCGUGGGGAGCGAACAGG